UAGGGAAUCUUCCGCAAUGGGCGAAAGCCUGACGGAGCAACGCCGCGUGAGUGAAGAAGGAUUUCGGUUCGUAAAGCUCUGUUGUUAGGGAAGAAUGAUUGUGUAGUAACUAUACACAGUAGAGACGGUACCUAACCAGAAAGCCACGGCUAACUACGUGCCAGCAGCCGCGGUAAUACGUAGGUGGCAAGCGUUGUCCGGAAUUAUUGGGCGUAAAGCGCGCGCAGGUGGUUUAAUAAGUCUGAUGUGAAAGCCCACGGCUCAACCGUGGAGGGUCAUUGGAAACUGUUAAACUUGAGUGCAGGAGAGAAAAGUGGAAUUCCUAGUGUAGCGGUGAAAUGCGUAGAGAUUAGGAGGAACACCAGUGGCGAAGGCGGCUUUUUGGCCUGUAACUGACACUGAGGCGCGAAAGCGUGGGGAGCAAACAGGAUUAGAUACCCUGGUAGUCCACGCCGUAAACGAUGAGUGCUAGGUGUUGGGUCCUUUCCGGGACUCAGUGCCGCAGCUAACGCAUUAAGCACUCCGCCUGGGGAGUACGACCGCAAGGUUG
rnacentral:rRNA from 1 species